CUUUCCCAUUAACAUGCGUAGUUCUUUGGUUGUUGCAAGUCUGCAACUUAAAUGGUUGAGAGCAUGUAAUAAGUUUAAUAGAGACCAUUAUUCACUUUUACUCAUUAGUAGCGUUACUAAUCAUAAUCUGUAUCAUUAUGCACAACAAAAGGCGAUAUAAAAUUCACAACCUUUACAGAAGGUACCCUUGGGAGACAUGCAGAAUCAUAACAUAAAUUGUAUCAUUAUGCUCUACCAAAUCAUAAUCUGUCGACACCGUGGUUUGCAGAAAAUGCAGCAAUGCCAUAUACUUCUGAUACCUUGGUAUAUAUGGCAGCACAAGCACCAACCAUUGCAGUAAAUUUUAUUUGUCAUUUUGUAGGAACAUUCAAGCUUAGGGUCCCGUGGCUUCAGCAGGUGGAUACCCAUUCGGAUAGAAGCAACUAUACUUUUGUGGGUCAAAUGUUAGUCUGUAUUUGUUGUGAAAAUAAGCUCUGUUUGCACUAAAUCUUAUUGCGUAUCCUGAUAGAACAUAUGGUUUGAAGUUUUAGAUAUUUUUAUAAACAUUGAUAUAUAUGUGCUGAUAUUUCCUUAAAAUUGUUUAGUUAUUAGUUUCUGGCAGAUUGAUGCACUCGGUGUAAUUGGAUUUUGUUGUUUGUUUCCUUUUCGUAAAUUUUCCAAAUUGAUAUGA